ensembl:misc_RNA Y_RNA Y RNA
GGCUGGUCCCACUGCAGUGGUGUUUACACCUAAUCGAUCAAAACCAGUUCCUUCUCCACUCCCACUGCUUCACUUGGCUAGUCUUAA